AUUAUUUUAGCAUAAUAGUGCAUUAAAUUUAGGAUUUAAUUAUAUUAAUAAUUUUAUUAAUAAAUAAUA
rnacentral:tRNA from 1 species